AUGGAGGAAUGCAAGACGGUGUUCAUCUGUACCGCGGUUGCGGCUCAAGGGACACAUGUGUUUGAUAUCAUGGGUUACAGCAAGCACAGGGGCAUGGGCAAUGACGAAGACAGCCACAUACUGUCUGGAAUUUUCGCUGUAGGCGGGUACGACUGGGCCAUCCGCUUCUAUCCCGAUGGGCACGGCAGUGCAUGCCCUGAUCACGUCACAGUUUUUCUCGAGCUUUUGAGCGAUAGCGCAAAAGUCCGGGCGUCCUGCGACCUGAGAACAGGGCCUAGGAUUUUCAACUCCGAUGAUGUCACUAAGUUUGCUCCACAAUUUGCUAAUUUCAAAAGGCGAAGCGAGAUCGAGGAAUCCGCAUACCUUCGGGAUGAUCGCCUGACGAUCGAAUGUAUCAUCAUUGUUUUCAAGAAGCCGCAUGUUACCCAAGCCAAUUCGCUCCCCAAAAUCCCCAAAAUCGACAUGCCACCAUCUGACAUGACCGAGAAUGUUGGCAGGCUGCUGGAAGAAAGGGAGGGAUUUGAUGUCCGUUUCAUUGUUGGAGGAGAGACCAUUGAAGCGCAUAGGCUCGUUCUCGCUAUGUGGUCGCCUGUUCUUAAGGCGGAGCUCUAG
rnacentral:rRNA from 1 species